UUAAGUGACGAUAGCCUAGGAGAUACACCUGUACCCAUGCCGAACACAGAAGUUAAGCCCUAGAACGCCGGAAGUAGUUGGGGGUUGCCCCCUGUGAGAUAUGGUAGUUGCUUAGC
rfam:Streptococcus sp. oral taxon 056 str. F0418 Noncontiguous_Finished_Chromosome, whole genome shotgun sequence.